CCACUAAAUACUGGAGUCCAUUAACUAACAUCAUAAUAGAAAACUAUAGUAUUUUAAAGAAACGUUAAAAGACUAAAAUAGUUUCAAGUCUGUAUACAAACGUUGGCCUCAGGCACCUGAGGAAGACUGUUUAGUUUAGUUGGUUCCUGCAUACCUCUCCUGAUUAUCUGAGCCCGAGAAAAGGGCACCCCUACAUUGUAUUUACAGGGUCUGACCAUGGCUCUCGAC